GAUGAAGAACGUAGCGAAUUGCGAUAAGUAAUGUGAAUUGCAGAUACUCGUGAAUCAUUGAAUUUUUGAACGCACAUUGCGCCCUUGAGCAUUCUCAGGGGCAUGCCUGUUUGAGCGUCAUUUCCUUCUCAAAAGAUAAUUUAUUAUUUUUUGGUUGUGGGCGAUACUCAGGGUUAGCUUGAAAUUGGAGACUGUUUCAGUCUUUUUUAAUUCAACACUUAGCUUCUUUGGAGACGCUGUUCUCGCUGUGAUGUAUUUAUGGAUUUAUUCGUUUUACUUUACAAGGGAAAUGGUAACGUACCUUAGGCAAAGGGUUGCUUUUAAUAUUCAUCAAGUUUGACCUCAAAUCAGGUAGGAUUACCCGCUGAACUUAAGCAUAUCAAUAAGCGGAGGA
rnacentral:misc_RNA from 1 species